rnacentral:rRNA from 1 species
UACGGAGGGGGCGAGCGUUGUUCGGAAUCAUUGGGCGUAAAGGGCGCGUAGGCGGCACUGUAAGUCAGAUGUGAAAGCCCUUGGCUUAACCAAGGAACUGCAUCUGAAACUGUAGUGCUUGAAUCCGGGAGGGGAGAGUGGAAUUCCCCGUGUAGCGGUGAAAUGCGUAGAUAUUGGGAGGAACACCGGUGGCGAAGGCGGCUCUCUGGGCUGGAACUGACGCUGAGGAGCGAAAGCGUGGGGAGCGAACAGG